rnacentral:tRNA from 2 species
AGCCCUGUGGUGCAGUUGGUCAGCACAUUCGCUCUGUACGCGGAAGACCGGGGUUCGAAUCCUCGUUGGGCUA